UUUUGGCAAAUGAUGAAUUCUUAUUUGUAAUUUGGUAAUUUGCAUCUGAUAAUUUUAUAUUGAUGCUAUCAUCGUGGAGAUCUGAUGCCCUUU